rnacentral:lncRNA from 1 species
AGAACAGCCUGUAGCUCUUUACAAGCACUGUGCUCUUUCCCAUCUUGAAGGCUUUGCUCCCGCUGCUUCCUCUUUGUGCAGUUACCUCUCUUCCACUGGAUAACAGUCACUCAUCCUUUAAGAUUCAGUUCAAUGAUGACUUCUUUCUGGAAGCCUCUUCUGAGCCAGCCACCAGACUAGGUUGGGUGUUCCUCUUCUGUGUCCCAUAGUACCAGUGUUUACUUCUAAUAUUUCAUAAUUGUCUGAUAAUGGAUCUGCCUUACCAGUUCUGCGAUAUUGGUAUCAACUUGACUGACCCUAUGUUCAGAGGAAUUUAUAGGGGGGUUCAAAAGCAUCAAGAUGACUUACAGGAUGUAAUAGGGAGAGCUGUCGAGAUUGGUGUUAAAAAGUUUAUGAUUACAGGUGGAAAUCUACAAGACAGUAAAGAUGCACUGCAUUUGGCACAAACAAAUGGUAUCCUCAUAUUUCUUUUACCAAAAAAAAAAUGAAUUAAGUAAUUUUGAAGAAGUCUUUCUGAAAACUGCUUCAGGUAUGUUUUUCAGUACAGUUGGAUGUCAUCCUACAAGAUGUGGUGAAUUUGAAAAGAAUAACCCUGAUCUUUACUUAAAGGAGUUGCUAAAUCUUGCUGAAAACAAU